AAAUUGAAGAGUUUGAUCAUGGCUCAGAUUGAACGCUGGCGGCAGGCCUAACACAUGCAAGUCGAACGGUAGCACAGAGAGCUUGCUCUCGGGUGACGAGUGGCGGACGGGUGAGUAAUGUCUGGGAAACUGCCCGAUGGAGGGGGAUAACUACUGGAAACGGUAGCUAAUACCGCAUAACGUCGCAAGACCAAAGUGGGGGACCUUCGGGCCUCACACCAUCGGAUGUGCCCAGAUGGGAUUAGCUAGUAGGUGGGGUAACGGCUCACCUAGGCGACGAUCCCUAGCUGGUCUGAGAGGAUGACCAGCCACACUGGAACUGAGACACGGUCCAGACUCCUACGGGAGGCAGCAGUGGGGAAUAUUGCACAAUGGGCGCAAGCCUGAUGCAGCCAUGCCGCGUGUAUGAAGAAGGCCUUCGGGUUGUAAAGUACUUUCAGCGAGGAGGAAGGCGUUGUGGUUAAUAACCACAGCGAUUGACGUUACUCGCAGAAGAAGCACCGGCUAACUCCGUGCCAGCAGCCGCGGUAAUACGGAGGGUGCAAGCGUUAAUCGGAAUUACUGGGCGUAAAGCGCACGCAGGCGGUUUGUUAAGUCAGAUGUGAAAUCCCCGGGCUCAACCUGGGAACUGCAUUUGAAACUGGCAAGCUUGAGUCUCGUAGAGGGGGGUAGAAUUCCAGGUGUAGCGGUGAAAUGCGUAGAGAUCUGGAGGAAUACCGGUGGCGAAGGCGGCCCCCUGGACAAAGACUGACGCUCAGGUGCGAAAGCGUGGGGAGCAAACAGGAUUAGAUA
rnacentral:rRNA from 1 species